rnacentral:lncRNA from 1 species
CCAAGGCGCACAAGUGCUCUCACCAGGCUGCGCGCUGGCGGGUCGGUGCACAGGGACGGGGUCGCCGCCCACGCGCGCUUGGUUCAGGGAGCCCAGGCUGUCCCUACCCGCGGCUACAAAAGCUCGCCGAGUCUUCCUGUCCACCCAAUCGCCCCACAUGUCAGCGGUUGGUCGCCUCGCGGUGCAGUGCUGGGCACGCGAGCCCCUCCCGCAGUCAUUCUCAGCACAAGCACCAGCCUGGAGCCCCGCAGCGACAGAGCUGAGAGCCCCCAAGCCGCAGAGGUCGUGCGGAGCAGGUUGCAAAUGUCUUAGAAACACACUCCUGGACCACAGCUUCAAGAGACGCAAGCAGUCACCUCAUCUGCUGGUUUCCAAGCUGCCCUGCCAGAAGCAGGUCAGGGGUCCCACAGGGGUCCUCAGUAACUCCUCAAAAUCCUCUCCCAUCAAUGGCCCCACCAGAUCAUCCCUACUUUUGAAUGCUUGUCCAAUGCAGGUUCCAGUUGCCCUUGGCUAUAAAGCCUGAAGUGGGUGUUGGAGUAGUCAACGACUAACCCAGGAUGGAUUUGUGCCAAUACACAAGUGACAACAUCUUUCACAGCUGAAGAGUCGGAGGAUAAAGCCAUGCCCACAGAUCGUUGUCACACAGAUUUGAUUAAGUGAAACAAAGCCCCAGCUGCUGGAGCAGAGGUUCCACUUGGGUUCCACAGACACCCACAGCCCAAAUCCCUGGAGGCCUAAGGCAAUAGCUAAUUGAGACUAUGCAUCACUAUUAAGGCAUCUUCACUAAAGGGCGCUGUGGAAACGCUGCCUGAGAUGCAGACACCUGUCAGAAGGGGGCUAAAUUUCAAACAAGGAACGUGGUGUUGCAUCACAAUAAAGUAGAUUCUAGUAUUACCUUCCUUUUUCAGAAGAGGAGACCAAUGGGGAGCAUUGGAAUGAUUUGGUUGCAAGCAUACUACACUACUUGUAAACUGCAGACACAGGCUUAAAAAAAGUGAAAAACUAACCAUGCAAUAAAGAAUGGAAUGAACCAUGAAGCUGUUUCUGUGGCCAGUCAUGUUUUUGAAGCAUAUCCCAUGCUAAUUUCUAGAACAGAAGAAACACACGUGUUCUUGUGUGUAAACCCAGUCCAUGGAAGAGACCGUCUGCUUGUCCCUCCUGAUCUCUGGGCCCAGACAACCAGUAGUCACCAUUCCAAGUGAGGGGUGGCUGCAACUCUACAGCCCCGUUCGUCUCUCCUCACUGUCAAAGCUGCUGAGACCCCAGACUCGACACUUGAAAGAAACCCAUGUCUGUGAAGCACUUGUGGACCAUUCAAGAUUGUGGAAGAAUCACUCAAGAGAAGGAGAUAGCAAUAUUUGCAGAUAUGCAAACUGGCCCCUUGCAUGCACAUCCUGGAGCACGUCCUGGAGCCUUUAGAGGAGACGGCUGCUGCUGUUCCAGUCUCUCCUUAGGCAGACUUGAGUUUCUACCCACUCUUCCCAAGCAGCCGCCCCUCCGCACCCGAGCGAGCCAAAGACCUGGCGGGCUGAGUACUCACUGCGCGCUGGACACAUGCUGAGCCGGCACUGCAGGGACACAGGGCGAGCCGCUGGAUGCAGACCUGUGGCCGCGGCAGUUGGGCUUAUCUUGCCCAUGAAGUUGCCUCUGAAGAACCAAGUCCAACUGUGUAUGCUGAGAGAUGUCUGGCUACUUCCUGAUUGACAGUUCUGGCAAGGUGGCAUUGGGCCCUGGCUUUUCCUCUGGAGGCAUCAUCACUUAUAGGAAAAUGUCCCCUGAAGUCCAAGGAUCAAAGCUGCUGGAACACUGAGAAGCUGAACAAAGGAGAACUGUUUCUCAUCAAACCCAGACUUCCAGACUUCCAAUAGGGUAGAAUGAGCAAGUCAGCAAAUCAUCUUCCUUGGAAACAGUGAUAAAACUAGAUGACAUUGUCAACAACAGCCAUUUCAGAAAUCUAGAAAAUGACCAAAGGCAAACAACAAACUGAGAAGCAUUUUUUUUUCCAUGAAAAAUCGCUCUAUUUCUGCAAAAAUAGUGGGAGUCUAUGGCUUCUCAUCCAGGGCUGUUUCUCUCCCCACCCCAGCUCAGUCAGUACAAAGGUUCUGGCAGCAUGAGGCAGACUGAACAGACCUGAAGUUUGAUUGCUGGAAGAAACUGACUCCAGGUUUGGCAGAGGGUGAGAAACCUACUCCCAGCCAUGUUGUCUGGUGACACAGUGACCUUAGGGACAAGUGAAUAGGGAAGGCCAGUGAUUCAUUAACCUGAGGUUGCAGUCCUGGUUGGGGAAAGCAUCAGAAUGGCAGAUAAGCUAGAAAUUUAGUAGGGAUAUGCUGGAAAUGAGACAACCCCAAAGGGGCUUGACCCCAAAGUUGUCCACACACCCCAGCUGCCUUCUGAGCAGAUGUAGGGAGAGACCAGAGAAGGCCUAGGCUAUCCACACAUCUCUGGCUAACCCAGGCUGUAAACCUGUGGAGGAGACACAAGAGGUGGAUUGAUUGCUAAUGGGCAUAUGGGGGAUCUUACUGGUUGAUAGGAACAUUCUCAAAUUGGAUUGUGGUGAUGCUUGCACAACUCUAAGUUUAUCCCAAAUUGCUAAAUUUUACACUAAAAAGGGGUGAACUUUAGGGUAUAUAAAUUAUACAUCAAUAAAGUUGUCAUAAAGCAUUCACAUUCUAAUAAAUGGCUCUAAGAAAUAUUGUUUUGAAAAUUUUCCUUUGGUAUAUUAUGG